rnacentral:rRNA from 1 species
AUUGAACGCUGGCGGCAGGCUUAACACAUGCAAGUCGAGCGAGCGGCGGACGGGGGAGGAAUGUCUGGGAAACUGCCUGAUGGAGGGGGAUAACUACUGGAAACGGUAGCUAAUACCGCAUACCAUCAGAUGUGCCCCGAUGGGAUUAGCUAGUAGGUGGGGUAAAGGCUCACCUAGGCCACGAUCCCUAGCUGGUCUGAGAGGAUGACCAGCCACACUGGAACGGAGACACGGGCCAGACUCCUACGGGAGGCAGCGGUGGGGAAUAUGGAACAAUGGGCGCAAGCCUGAUGCAGCCAGGCCGGGUGGAUGAAGAGGGCCUUCGGGUUGUAAAGUACGUUCAGCGGGGAGGCGUUACCCGCAGAAGAAGCACCGGCUAACUCCGUGCCAGCAGCCGCGGUAAUUC